UGAGGAAUAUUGGGCAAUGCCCGAAAGGGUGACCCAGCAACGCCGCGUGGAGGAUGAAGGUCGUAAGAUUGUAAACUCCUGUUAGAGGGGAAGAAUAACUAAGUUUGGAGCUUAGUAUGACUGUACCCUCAGAGAAAGCCCCGGCUAACUACGUGCCAGCAGCCGCGGUAAUACGUAGGGGGCAAGCGUUGUCCGGAUUUACUGGGUGUAAAGGGCGCGCAGGCGGGAUAAAAAGUCAGUGGUGAAAUCCUACAGCUUAACUGUAGAACUGCCUUUGAUACUUUUAUUCUUGAGUUCGGGAGAGAGAGACGGAAUUCCAGGUGUAGUGGUGAAAUACGUAGAUAUCUGGAAGAACACCAGUUGCGAAGGCGGUCUCUUGAUCCGACACUGACGCUGAGGCGCGAAAGCGUGGGGAGCAAACA
rnacentral:rRNA from 1 species